rnacentral:rRNA from 1 species
UAGGGAAUCUUCCGCAAUGGACGAAAGUCUGAUGGAGCAACGCCGCGUGAGUGAAGAAGGAUUUCGGUUCGUAAAACUCUGUUGUUAGGGAAGAAAAAAUGUAUAGUAACUAUAUACAAAAGAGACGGUACCUAACCAGAAAGCCACGGCUAACUACGUGCCAGCAGCCGCGGUAAUACGUAGGUGGCAAGCGUUGUCCGGAAUUAUUGGGCGUAAAGCGCGCGCAGGUGGUUUAGAAAGUCUGAUGUGAAAGCCCACGACUCAACCGUGGAGGGUCAUUGGAAACUAAUAAACUGGAGUGCAGGAGAGAAAAGUGGAAUUCCUAGUGUAGCGGUGAAAUGCGUAGAGAUUAGGAGGAACACCGGUGGCGAAAGCGGCUUUUUGGCCUGCAACUGACACUGAGGCGCGAAAGCGUGGGGAGCAAACAGG